AAAAACUCAUCAAUUUCAAUCCCCUUUCAGAUUUUCACACCCAUCAACCCAAUUCACCAAUUUCGCCCAUAAACACACCCGAAGAUGAUUAAAGUUCCGAUUUUGGCCCUUCUGAUCUGCCUCCUGUUCGCUUUGUCAAAUGGGUAUGGAGGAACCAAGGUCGGUGGCAGGCAGCAGAUCGAAGACGUGAAGACGAACAAGGAGGUUCAGAAGUUGGGGAGGUUUUCGGUGGCGGAGUACAACCGGACGCAGCGGAAGAGCUACCAGAGCAACGGCGGCGGAGAGCUUCAGUUCUUGGAGGUGGUGGAGGCGCAGAGCCAGGUGGUUUCUGGGAUCAAAUACUAUCUCAAGGUCUCCGCCGUCAGGAAUGGGGCUCACAUGCUGUUUGAUUCGGAAGUGGUCGUGAAGCCAUGGCUUCAUUCCAAGCAAUUGCUCAACUUUGCCCCUCAUGGUCCUAAUUAAUUUAAUUUCAUGCUUGAAUGAAUUGGGGUUUUGUUGUACCAAAUUAAUGAUCUUGGUGUAAUCGGAUGUUUAAUUAUCUUUUUCCUUUCUGGGUUUUGUUUUGUUGUUUGUGUUGUGUGAUUUCGACUCUUUCUAUGCUCUUGUGGGUAUAAAUUACAAUAAUUAGUCAUCUGU
rnacentral:lncRNA from 1 species